GGCUUCCAGGAACCUUGCUCUCUUCUCUGCCCCUUUCUCCACCACUGCUGCCUAAAAUGAGGGUGCCCCCGGCAUUGACCACAUGGCUGAGGCCACACAGAACAGAGCAACAAGACACUGAGCCUGAUUCUCACUGAUAGAACCAUCAAGCAUUUGCCUGAAAACCUGUUAGGACAGAAACGGGGAGGGAGCUUAACCCUUGGAGAAGCUGUGAAGACAUUUUCAUUGACUGUGGCCUGGGUCAUGUUUAACUUUUUGAUGAAAGGUUCUCUCUUGGGAAUGAACGGCCUAAAGACCCUCAUCUUAAAGGAGAAAGUAUGGACCCCCGAGAUUCUGGGUGUGAAGAUCAGUGGAGACUUCCCCCGGCUGCUGACUUCAUUAAACAGCACUUGUUUUUG